rnacentral:rRNA from 1 species
AUUGAACGCUGGCGGCAGGCCUAACACAUGCAAGUCGAGCGGCGCGGCAGUCGGGUGAGUAAUGCCUAGGAAUCUGCCUGGUCGUGGGGGAUGACGUCCGGAAACGGGCGCUAAAACCGCAUCCUAUCAGCUGAGCCUAGGUCGGAUUAGCUAGUUGGUGGGGUAAAGGCCUACCAAGGCGACGAUCCGUAACUGGUCUGAGAGGAUGACCAGUCACACUGGAACUGAGACACGGUCCAGACUCCUACGGGAGGCAGCAGUGGGGAAUAUUGGACAAUGGGCGAAAGCCUGAUCCAGCCAUGCCGCGUGUGUGAAGAAGGUCUUCGGGUUGUAAAGCACUUUAAGUUGGGAGGCGUUACCCACAGAAGAAGCACCGGCUAACUUCGUGCCAGCAGCCGCGGUAAUUC